CAAAUGGUAACGGAUGCCUAAACAAGAAAUGACCAUCCUGUGGCUACAACUCUCAAGACUGUUGCUUCAGCAAAACCAAAAUGGAACUGAUCCAGGUGUUUGGAUUGAGUUGGUCCUGGUCCCC